CUAAAAUUUAAACAAUACUAACUAAUUAUAACCUAUGCUUUUACAAAAAAUGUGAGAGAGUAUGGAGUAUCUGAUUCUGCCUUAGGCAGGACUUCAAGGGAAUUAACAGUAGUAACCGUGGAGUCAUAUGCUUCUUGUCUUUUAAGGCGUCUCUAAAGGUGCUGGGAAAGAGGUUGAAAACGAGUGUGCUGAACUAGGUAUGGUGCUACUUUUCUGUCCUUUUUGAAGGCUUGCAUGCAGGACAGGGAGUUGUUUGGAGUUCUUUCUCAGUGCCUACUGUACACCUAUCUGUCCUAUGCGCUGUGUUACAUCAAGUAGUCUUAAUUCGGUUAUUGCGAUGUAUGUAAAACAUCUAACAAGGAAAGGAAGAGGCGUUUUCAAGACAAAAGAGCAUCUAAGCCUUUGUAAAGGGCAGGAUCUACCUAUGAUUGCAUCCUCUAAUUCCAGUACAGCUUUUGAGGGAUAUAGACAAGUCCACGGAGAACACAGGUGUGAGUUGGGGUGAUGUUAGCAGAACCCUUAAUAGAGAAGCUAUGUUUCAUUGGGAGUAACUCCCUGCCUGCAACUUCUUUUCUUAUCCCCAAGUGAAAAAAUGUUUGCCGUUGUCUUCAGUAGCAACCCACUGCUGUACCCUCUGCAUGACUAAGAAGGAAAAUCUUUGCAUCUGGGUUCCUGCCUUAAAAGAGGCAUUUGCAGACCAAAUUGAGCUAGUGAAUACAUUGAAUGGGGAGUAAGGGUGGAGAAGCGUUUGGCUUAAAAGCCUGUUUGCAGGCUUCCCUUAUUUUGAUAACAGAAGGGAGAAAGUCUCUGGUGUGGAGCUCAGCUCACAAGACCAACGAAACGGAAGAAUUACAUGGAGGAGACAGGCAGACUCGUGUUAAGACUGACUGCAGUGCUUGGUCUGCAUAAAGUGUUCUACAUCUGCGGAGCAAACUUCGAAAAGGAAGGCACACAAAACUGUAUUUGGCAAACAAGGCAAACAGCUCACGAUCAUAAAAUGAAUCCCAGACAGUAAAAAUAAAGAGAGGGAGGUAUUUAUCAGCAUGGGGAAAGAGACUUGGAGCUUAUCCUGGGCUGUACUCGUCAUCGUUUCUUAUCUCCCAAUGGCGAUUACUACAUAUAUAUGUCGUAUAUAAUUGUCGAUUGUUCAUUCACUCCUGCUUACGUUUCAGCCUUGCAGCCUAAUGCUGGCUAUAUAACCACCAAAGCAGGAAGCUUGCCAUGCCAAAAAUAAUCCAUUUUGUCGCCCAAGAUGAUAUGAAAGUGCCAGUCUCCAAAGUGCUUCAGGAAUGUGAAUUACAGCAGUACGCCUCUGUUACCAUCCCAGCAGUUGGAGCAGGUCAGGCAGGCUGUUUUCCGGACAUAGUCGCUGAUGAGAUGAUGGAUGCAGAAACUGACUGCAAGGAGGAACUCUACUCCAUCUGUGAAAACUAUUAAAUCUGUCAUUUUUCAGUCGUAUCUGCUGACUGUGUUCCAUACAAGCUUGAAAAAAAGAGAAAAUCCUGGUAAAGAAGAUUCAAAGAAGAUUCCUACGUGUCCUCUGACAGUAUGACAAAUACGUGCGUGGAAAGUGCUUUUAUAAGAAAGCAGAAAGCUGUCUCAGUCGUCAUUCACAAGACAAAGUACCUGGCGAAUAUAGAAGGUGGAUGCGCUACAGAUGGGGAUGGACAACGUAUGGUGCUUACACGUACUGAUAAAUCUGCAGAUCAGGAAUCAACAGCACUGCCCGAAAAAUGGGACGACAUGCAAAAUCAGCAGCUCAAAACAGCGGAAUUGAAACCAGAUGCAAAAGACUACAAGCAAGUGAAGGAAAGGUUUCUGAAGACCGCUCCAUCACUGAAUCUGAAAAUUGAAAAGGUAAAAGCGUGUAAUCGUUUAUAAGCAUACAUACAGCUAAUGAAUAACGACUGGUAAACAGUGGAAAAACUAAAUUCCAUUGGAAUUUGUUGGACAGGUCUUUACAGCAAAAGAAAGGGACACAGUUUUUCCUAAUUGACUUAAAAGUUUGUAUGUGUGUGUGUGUGUGUGUGUAUUUAAGUCACUAUCUGAAAAGGUUGCACAAAACCGUCAAUAACCACCCAGUUGUCGAGUGCCUGUGAUCCUCAUGACCUUCAAACCUGGUGUAAAAUAUCUCUGCCCCCAGUAAGAAACUGCUUAUGAAAUCAAGUUUUAUGAUGCUGUGAAAACGCAGAUACGGCAGUUUCAGUCAAAGUGCCCGUGGGUAUCGUCUGUGUUCAUGCAGCUGCCAUGCCCUCUGCAGCGGGAAGGGCCACAGAACCAGGUACCGGA